rnacentral:misc_RNA from 1 species
GAUGAAGAACGCAGCGAAAUGCGAUACUUGGUGUGAAUUGCAGAAUCCCGUGAACCAUCGAGUCUUUGAACGCAAGUUGCGCCCGAAGCCAUUAGGCCGAGGGCACGCCUGCCUGGGCGUCACACGUCGUUGCCCCCCCAUCUACUCCUUCGGGAUUGCGGGGGGCGGAUGAUGGCCUCCCGUGCGCCUCGCCGCGCGGUUGGCAUAAAUGCCAAGUCCUCGGCGACGCACGCCACGACAAUCGGUGGUUGCGAAACCUCGGUUGCCCGUCGUGUGCGGUCGUCGCGCAUCCAGGGCUCGAAAAAAUUGCCGGGUUCCGGCUCGGCUUUCAACGCGACCCCAGGUCAGGCGGGGUUACCCGCUGAAUUUAAGCAUAUCAAUAAGCGGAGGA